rnacentral:rRNA from 1 species
UACGGAGGGUGCAAGCGUUAUCCGGAUUCACUGGGUUUAAAGGGUGCGUAGGUGGGCUAGUAAGUCCGUGGUGAAAUCCCCGAGCUUAACUCGGGAACUGCCGUGGAUACUAUUAGUCUUGAAUAUCGUGGAGGUAAGCGGAAUAUGUCAUGUAGCGGUGAAAUGCUUAGAUAUGACAUAGAACACCGAUAGCGGAGGCAGCUUACUACGCGAUUAUUGACACUGAGGCACGAAAGCGUGGGGAUCAAAC